AUUGAACGCUGGCGGCAUGCCUUACACAUGCAAGUCGAACGGUAACAGGCCGCAAGGUGCUGACGAGUGGCGAACGGGUGAGUAAUGCAUCGGAACGUGCCCAGUCGUGGGGGAUAACUGCUCGAAAGAGCAGCUAAUACCGCAUACGACCUGAGGGUGAAAGCGGGGGACCGAAAGGCCUCGCGCGAUUGGAGCGGCCGAUGUCAGAUUAGGUAGUUGGUGGGGUAAAGGCCUACCAAGCCGACGAUCUGUAGUUGGUCUGAGAGGACGACCAGCCACACUGGGACUGAGACACGGCCCAGACUCCUACGGGAGGCAGCAGUGGGGAAUUUUGGACAAUGGGGGCAACCCUGAUCCAGCAAUGCCGCGUGCAGGAAGAAGGCCUUCGGGUUGUAAACUGCUUUUGUCAGGGAAGAAAUCCUGUGGGUUAAUACCUCGUGGGGAUGACGGUACCUGAAGAAUAAGCACCGGCUAACUACGUGCCAGCCGCCGCUGUAAUAC
rnacentral:rRNA from 1 species